UGCGAAGACUUUACAUAUCGU
rnacentral:piRNA from 1 species